rnacentral:rRNA from 1 species
AUGGCUGGUCGCCGCUACGAGUGGAUCAACUGGGAUGGCCUUGGCAACGAGGCGGAGGAGGAUGCGGCCGAUUUGAACUACGACUACGAGUGGGUCGUACCCGACCAAGAUGAAGACGUGGCAGAGAGUUCCCACCGGCGUCGGGGAGGAAGGCUUGGCCUGGCAGGUGGAGUAAGGGGUCGGGACGUGGGACUUGGACGAGGAAAUGCUGGUCGAUCAGGACUUGGACGAGGAGGCGCUGGCGGAUCAGGACUUGGUCAGCAUGUACGUUCAGUCGUGAACCAAGCAAUGGUGGGGGGAAAUGGUGAGGGAGGCGGCAGGGAGGACGACGGGCAUGCACGCGGCAGCGGCGACCAUGCACGCGGUGGACGCCGGCUUGGACUUGCGGGGUCAAGGCGUGGCCCUAAUCCGGUGACAAGGUGGCCUGUUGAUCGUCCAACUGUAGAAGCACAAGAGAAUGGUGGAGUUGGUGAUUCUGAGGAGCAUGUAGAACAAGAAUAA